rnacentral:SRP_RNA from 1 species
GCCGGGCACGGUGGUGCGUGCCUGUAGUCCCAGCUACAGGGGAGGCUGAGGUGGGAGGAUCGCUUGAGCCCAGGAGUUCUGGGCUGUAGUGCACUAUGCCGAUCGGGUGUCUGCACUGAGUUCGGCAUCAGUAUGGUGACCUCCCGGGAGCAGGGGACCACCAGGUUGCCUAAGGAGGGGUGAAGCGACCCAGGUGGGAAACGGAGCAGGUGAAAACUCCCGUGUUGAUCAGUAGUGGGAUCGCGCCUGUGAAUAGCUACUUCACUCCAGCCUGGGCAACAUAGUGAGACUCCGUCUCU